rnacentral:rRNA from 1 species
GGUUUGAGAGGAUGAUCAGUCACACUGGAACUGAGACACGGUCCAGACUCCUACGGGAGGCAGCAGUGGGGAAUAUUGCACAAUGGACGAAAGUCUGAUGCAGCAACGCCGCGUGGAGGAUGACACAUUUCGGUGCGUAAACUCCUUUUAUAUAGGAAGAUAAUGACGGUACUAUAUGAAUAAGCACCGGCUAACUCCGUGCCAGCAGCCGCGGUAAUACGGAGGGUGCAAGCGUUACUCGGAAUUACUGGGCGUAAAGAGCGUGUAGGCGGGUAAAUAAGUUGGGAGUGAAACCCUAUGGCUCAACCAUAGAACUGCUUCCAAAACUGUUAACCUAGAAUGUGGGAGAGGUAGAUGGAAUUUCUGGUGUAGGGGUAAAAUCCGUAGAUAUCAGAAGGAAUACCGAUUGCGAAGGCGAUCUACUGGAACACUAUUGACGCUGAGACGCGAAAGCGUGGGGAGCAAACAGGAUUAGAUACCCUGGUAGUCCACGCCCUAAACGAUGUACACUAGUUGUUGUGAGGCUAGACCUUGCAGUAAUGCAGUUAACACAUUAAGUGUACCGCCUGGGGAGUACAGUCGCAAGAUUAAAACUCAAAGGAAUAGACGGGGACCCGCACAAGCGGUGGAGCAUGUGGUUUAAUUCGACAUACGCGAAGAACCUUACCUGGUCUUGACAUAGAAAGAACUUUCCAGAGAUGGAUUGGUGCCUGCUUGCAGGAGCUUUCAUACAGGUGCUGCACGGCUGUCGUCAGCUCGUGUCGUGAGAUGUUGGGUUAAGUCCCGCAACGAGCGCAACCCUCGUCGUUAGUUGCUAACAGUUCGGCUGAGAACUCUAACGAGACUGCCUACGCAAGUAGGAGGAAGGUGAGGACGACGUCAAGUCAUCAUGGCCCUUACGACCAGGGCUACACACGUGCUACAAUGGGGUAUACGAAGAGCAGCGAUACGGUGACGUGGAGCGAAUCUCAAAAAUGCCUCCCAGUUCGGAUAGUAGUCUGCAACUCGACUACUUGAAGUUGGAAUCGCUAGUAAUCGUAGAUCAGCUAUGCUACGGUGAAUACGUUCCCGGGUCUUGUACUCACCGCCCGUCACACCAUGGGAGUUGAAUUCAUUCGAAGCGGGGAUGCUAAAAUAGCUACCUUCCACAGUGGAUUUAGCGACUGGGGUGAAGUCGUAACAAGGUAACCGUAGGAGAACCUGCGGUUG